rfam:Hanseniaspora uvarum DSM 2768 Contig_22, whole genome shotgun sequence.
GUCACAGUGCCGGAGUGGUUAACGGGUUGCCCUGCUAAGGCAAUGGUCUUUGGCCUCGCAGGUUCGAAUCCUGUCUGUGACG